CGCCCUCUAGCUAUAGCUACUCGACUUGUUUAUUUGCUGAAGGGGUGUGGGGUUGAACAUAUGGUAUGCUAAAACAUGGACUUGUAGUUUGGAAGGCCACAGGACCCCAGGGAGUAGAGCUGAGGGAGCCAAGGGGGCCUGGGUGAUUGGACCCUGUCUCCCUCCAUUCCUCCCGCUUGGCUAGCCAGGGCCAAGGCAGCCUAUAAUCUUGCUCAGAGAACCAGAGCCAUAGCUGCAGUGUCCUCUCUCUACUAACUCCCACAAGCCCCCGUCCAUUGCCCGCUGCUCCCCAGCUGAUCCCCCCCCCCCACUCCACACCGCUGCAGGUAACACCCAGGAACGGGGGGUUCGCCAGCGGGCUGGGGCAGUGGUUGCAGCUGGGACAUACACUGACACCAUCCAGGCUUCUUGUUCCCAAGGGUGUGAGGGCAAGAGGCGGCAUCGCACUGAGCUCUGGUGCUAAGGGUAGAAGGGCAUGGUCAUGGACAUGCUGGUGGUGCUGUAUCCCCCAAAGGCUACCAGAUAUUUGGUGACACCCCCACAGGUGCCACGACAACCGAGACCCCGCCUCCUCGGGGUGUGGAUGGGGGGCAGCUGGUAACCGUGGGUGGAGACUGACACGAUGAGCUGAACCAAGAGACGAUGCACCAGCUGCUUCCUAUCACUGUCUGACAACACAGGAGCAGUGAGUGUCAAGUCCAUGUCUCUGUGUCUCUGGACAAUGACAGAUAUAUCAAUGUCAUUAGGAGUGACAUGGUUGACCGACAUCUCAAUCAAAAACAGAAUGAGAGUUACCUCUCUCUUCACCUAUUCCAAUAGAGGGUCAUGUAAACUGUGUUUAUCUUGUUAAAUGGAUUUUGUAUUAACUCAGGAGAAAUAGAAGGGCAUCAAUAUCUGGAGAGAAAAAGAAACCAGUCAUAUACUCUUUGACAUUUGCCCUUUUCAGAGAUUAACCAAGCUCACUUCAGAGGCUGCAUUUUAAAAAGUUUGGACCGUGUCCAUCACUCGUCUUUCCUCCCUGGUAUAAUUGUAUGAGGGCAUUUGAGUGGAAAACUGAAAAUGUCUCAAUCCUCCUGCUUCAUGCUCCCAGGGCUUUUCGCUUCCUUCACUCCCACUACAGCCUGGUCUCAUAGACUAGACGUAACAUUGUAAACUUAAAUCGGGGACAAUCAAAUUAGUAUGAUAUGUUACGUUUGGUAUGGUUACAUAACACGGAAGGUCACUUAAGGCAAAAACAAAAGUAGGGUAGUUGGUCAGGGUGGAUGGGUAGGCGUAUAAAGCGAAUGUCUAGCAACCCAAAGGUUGUGUGUUCAAAUCUCAUCAAGGACAACUUCAGCAUUUUAGAUACUUAGCAACUACUUACUACUUUUGAACUACUUUGCAACUAGCUAACGCUUCCCCUAACCUUAACCCCUAGGUUAGCCUCUCUAGGCUAGGCGGGACGAAUUCGUCCCACCUACGUAACAGCCACUGCUAUCCUGUGGCGCGAUUUUCAAAACCUUAAAAAUCCUAUUACUUCAAUUUCUCAAACAUAUGACUAUUUUACAGCCAUUUAAAGAUAAGACUCUCGUUAAUCUAACC
rnacentral:lncRNA from 1 species